GCUGUGACCUGGCAGGGCAGGUGUGGGUGGCUGACAGGUGCAGUAAAGGGAGGGAAGGACUCGCCUGCUCGGUGACCCUCUCUCAGGGCCUCUCCCUCCCAGCACUUGUCACCCUGUAAGAUGAGUUACUUAUGUGGCGCUCGAGGCAUGAAAGUGACCAUCUCCUGACUUUUCUCAAUAACACAAAGGCCGGCUCUGAGAUUCAGCUCAUGAGGAAGCCAGGUCCAGCCACUUCUGGGCUGUCCUUACAGAAACGCCAUGAGGCCGUCACGAUCCAUGGUGGCCACCCUGCCCUUUCCCUUGCUGAGUCACCAGCAUGUCCCUGCUUCACUGGGGAGGCCUCUGCGAUGAGGUCCUGGUUCCCAGCAGGGACAGACACCCAAACCGUCACCUCCUGCAGCUGAUCCCGAGGGGCUGGGGCCUCACUCCUCCAGUCCCCCACAUUCAACACCGCAAAGCACUCAGAUCAGCUGUUCUCAUCGGAUUCACCUGCAGAGAUUUAAAAACUACUGACCACCGGCUCUCACCUCAGAUUUCCCAGUUUAAUCACCUGGAUGUAGUCUGGGCAUGGGGACUUUCGAAAGUUCCAAGUGAUUCUAACCUGCAGCCAAGAUUGAAGCGACUGCCAGCCCAGUUCCUCUUCACUGGGCACAGACAACAGGCACCUCCCCAGCUACCUGCAGAGCAGGAGCAGUUAACGUCAACAUGGGACGCCAGCCUCCUGCCUGCCCAGAUGCUGUGUCUUUAAAAGCCUUGCUAGGCUGAGGACAGGGGCUGAAGGGCGGCCUGAAGUGGGCAGCGUGGUACCGCUUGCCCAGAGUUUUGAAAACAAAAGCUUCUUCCUGUCCUCACCCAGCAGAUGCCUGUUCCACGGGACCGGGGACCUCGUCUGUGCUUCUACUGCUGUCUCCCUACUUUCCAGGACAGAGCCUGGCCCUCAGCCCAUCGCUGUUGUGGGAACAGAGGAGCGUCCGAGUGGAUGGAUGGAUGGGUGGGUGGAUACACCAUGAGCAUAUGGAUGGAUGAACAAGGAUCACCGCCUCUCGGGAGGCUGCAGAAAACCAGCCUUGCACUCAGGGUUUAUGGCCCCUUUCAAAAGCCAGAAUCGGCAAGGGGCAUCUGAAAGCAGAGCGGCCAAUAAAUUCAAUUUCUAAAAAGGCCAGAACCUCAGAGCCCCAGGAAGUUGUAUUAUAGCAAUUCACGUGGUUGCAAUUUAAGAUUUUAUAGGAGCAGCCACCGCGUCAGCCUCUCUGUCUUGUGACAAGCAGACCCCAUGACUGAGGAGCAGAAAGAAAGUGUGUUCCUCAGAAAGCCGUCGACCGCGAAGAGUGACCUUUCAGAUACAAUUUACAGGAGAAGAAAAAAAAUGCUGCAAUGAAAAGAAGAUUUUUGUCUUGCAUUCUUUCCCAGCUACCUUUGUUCCUGGAGGAAGCAUCUUUGAGCCAUCGUUGUGAAGGCCUUCUCUCUGCAGCUGUCCGGAAGGCAGCUCCCCAGGGCAGGGACGCCUCUGAGCGGGUGGGAGAUGGGAGGAUGGGAGGUGGCCGCUGUCAGCUCCUGUCCUGACCUGGCUUCAUUCGAGCUGUGCCUGAUGGGCGCGCAGGUCUGGAAGCCGCUCGCCUCUCUUCGUGCAGCCCUGCGAAUGAGGUGAUGUCCAUCUCACAGAAGAGGAAACUGAGGCCCUGCGUCACACAGCUGGCAGGUGAAAGAGCCGUGUGUUUGAGGCAAAGCCCAGUGACUGGCACCAGUAGAAAAGGUGGAGGAGGAGCCUGUGGUGGGGCACCGGCCUUGCCAGGCAGCAUCCAGGAGAACAAGUGCCCUAGGAAUCUGAGACUCGCCAUGGAUGCCAAGAACAGGACAGGAAACUGAGACCCAGAGAGGUGGAGCAAAAAUGCCCGAAAUUACGUAGUUGGUUAAGAGCAGAAUGGGGACUCGCACGUGCUUUCUGCUCUACGGUGCCACCUUCUCAAAGGAGGAAAUUUACCUGCCAGCCUUGCCCACAGGCCCAGACGGAGGAGUUCAACUUCUUCCCAGAGCUGGGGAGGAGCUCCAAGUGAUUACGCUGUGAAAUUGACCUGGCAGCUCAGCGUUGAGAUUGAAGCUAAUUAAUUUUGCCUGACUUGAUGGAAUCCUCUUCAUUCUCAAUCCUCUCUCUGCUCUUGGACAAAAGAUGAGUGAGGGGGAUGUGGAGGGAAAUGUAACUGGCAAAGUAGCUUCUCUGUGUGGCCACCUGGCGUUUCCCGUGUAGCCCACACUGGGUUUUCAAGCACAGACAUUCUCUUCUCAGGGGGUCUGGGUGGAAAGAA
ensembl:lncRNA